GACGAACGCUGGCGGCGUGCUUAACACAUGCAAGUCGAACGGAAAGGCCCUGCUUUUGUGGGGUGCUCGAGUGGCGAACGGGUGAGUAACACGUGAGUAACCUGCCCUUGACUUUGGGAUAACUUCAGGAAACUGGGGCUAAUACCGGAUAGGAGCUCCUGCUGCAUGGUGGGGGUUGGAAAGUUUCGGCGGUUGGGGAUGGACUCGCGGCUUAUCAGCUUGUUGGUGGGGUAGUGGCUUACCAAGGCUUUGACGGGUAGCCGGCCUGAGAGGGUGACCGGACACAUUGGGACUGGGAUACGGCACAGACUCCUACGGGAGGCAGCAGUGGGGAAGAGUGCACAAUGGGAGGAAGCCUAAUGCAGCAACGCAGCGUGCGGGAUGACGGCAUUCGGGUUGUAAACCGCUUUCGCCUGUGACGAAGCGUGAGUGACGGUAAUGGGUAAAGAAGCACCGGCUAACUACGUG
rnacentral:rRNA from 1 species